rnacentral:rRNA from 1 species
GGGAGCCUAUACAGGUGUUGCAUGGCUGUCGUCAGCUCGUGUCGUGAGAUGUUCGGUUAAGUCCGCUAACGAGCGCAACCCUCGUCGUAUGUUAUAUGUGUCAUACGAGACUGCCGGUAAAAGCCGGAGGAAGGUGAGGAUGAUGUCAAGUCAGCAUGACCUUUAUAUCCAGGGCUACACACACGCUACAAUGGUCUGUACAAUGGGUAGCCAAGCCGCGAGGCGGAGCCAACCCUGAAAGCAGGCCUCAGUUCAGAUUGCAGUCUGCAACUCGACUGCAUGAAGCCGGAGUUGCUAGUAACCGCAGGUCAGCAAUACUGCGGUGAAUACGUUCCCGGGUCUU